rnacentral:rRNA from 1 species
UACAGAGGUCUCGAGCGUUGUUCGGAUUCAUUGGGCGUAAAGGGUGCGUAGGUGGCGCCGUAAGUCAGGUGUGAAAUUUCGGAGCUUAACUCCGAAACUGCAUUUGAUACUGUGGUGCUCGAGUACUGGAGAGGAGAUUGGAAUUUACGGUGUAGCAGUGAAAUGCGUAGAUAUCGUAAGGAAGACCAGUGGCGAAGGCGAAUCUCUGGACAGUUACUGACACUGAGCACGAAGGCCAGGGGAGCAAACGGG